UACAGAGGUCUCAAGCGUUGUUCGGGAUUCAUUGGGCGUAAAGGGUGCGUAGGCGGCGCGGUAAGUCGGGUGUGAAAUCUCGGAGCUUAACUCCGAAACUGCAUUCGAUACUGCCGUGCUUGAGGACUGGAGAGGAGACUGGAAUUUACGGUGUAGCGGUGAAAUGCGUAGAUAUCGUAAGGAAGACCAGUGGCGAAGGCGGGUCUCUGGAC
rnacentral:rRNA from 1 species